GAUGAACGCUGGCGGCGUGCUUAACACAUGCAAGUCGAACGAGAAUCUACGGAUAGAGGAUUCGUCCAAUUGAAGUAGAGGAAAGUGGCGGACGGGUGAGUAACGCGUGAGGAACCUGCCUAGGAGUGGGGAAUAACAGUCCGAAAGGACUGCUAAUACCGCAUAAUGCAGUUGGGUCGCAUGGCUCUGACUGCCAAAGAUUUAUCGCUCUUAGAUGGCCUCGCGUCUGAUUAGCUAGUUGGUAGGGUAACGGCCUACCAAGGCGACGAUCAGUAGCCGGACUGAGAGGUUGGCCGGCCACAUUGGGACUGAGACACGGCCCAGACUCCUACGGGAGGCAGCAGUGGGGAAUAUUGGGGCAAUGGGCGCAAGCCUGACCCAGCAACGCCGCGUGAAGGAUGAAGGCUUUCGGGUUGUAAACUUCUUUUACCAGGGACGAAGAACGUGACGGUACCUGGAGAAAAAGCAACGGCUAACUACGUGCCAGCAGCCGCGGU
rnacentral:rRNA from 1 species